rnacentral:rRNA from 1 species
AGCUACAGGCUUAACACAUGCAAGUCGAGGGGCAGCAUGGUCUUAGCUUGCUAAGGCCGAUGGCGACCGGCGCACGGGUGAGUAACACGUAUCCAACCUACCGUCUACUCUUGGACAGCCUUCUGAAAGGAAGAUUAAUACAAGAUGGCAUCAUGAGUCCGCAUGUUCACAUGAUUAAAGGUAUUCCGGUAGACGAUGGGGAUGCGUUCCAUUAGAUAGUAGGCGGGGUAACGGCCCACCUAGUCUUCGAUGGAUAGGGGUUCUGAGAGGAAGGUCCCCCACAUUGGAACUGAGACACGGUCCAAACUCCUACGGGAGGCAGCAGUGAGGAAUAUUGGUCAAUGGGCGAGAGCCUGAACCAGCCAAGUAGCGUGAAGGAUGACUGCCCUAUGGGUUGUAAACUUCUUUUAUAAAGGAAUAAAGUCGGGUAUGGAUACCCGUUUGCAUGUACUUUAUGAAUAAGGAUCGGCUAACUCCGUGCCAGCAGCCGCGGUAAUACGGAGGAUCCGAGCGUUAUCCGGAUUUAUUGGGUUUAACGGGAGCGUAGAUGGAUGUUUAAGUCAGUUGUGAAAGUUUGCGGCUCAACCGUAAAAUUGCAGUUGAUACUGGAUAUCUUGAGUGCAGUUGAGGCAGGCGGAAUUCGUGGUGUAGCGGUGAAAUGCUUAGAUAUCACGAAGAACUCCGAUUGCGAAGGCAGCCUGCUAAGCUGCAACUGACAUUGAGGCUCGAAAGUGUGGGUAUCAAACAGGAUUAGAUACCCUGGUAGUCCACACGGUAAACGAUGAAUACUCGCUGUUUGCGAUAUACAGCAAGCGGCCAAGCGAAAGCGUUAAGUAUUCCACCUGGGGAGUACGCCGGCAACGGUGAAACUCAAAGGAAUUGACGGGGGCCCGCACAAGCGGAGGAACAUGUGGUUUAAUUCGAUGAUACGCGAGGAACCUUACCCGGGCUUAAAUUGCAGAUGAAUUACGGUGAAAGCCGUAAGCCGCAAGGCAUCUGUGAAGGUGCUGCAUGGUUGUCGUCAGCUCGUGCCGUGAGGUGUCGGCUUAAGUGCCAUAACGAGCGCAACCCUUGUUGUCAGUUACUAACAGGUUCUGCUGAGGACUCUGACAAGACUGCCAUCGUAAGAUGUGAGGAAGGUGGGGAUGACGUCAAAUCAGCACGGCCCUUACGUCCGGGGCUACACACGUGUUACAAUGGGGGGUACAGAGGGCCGCUACCACGCGAGUGGAUGCCAAUCCCCAAAACCUCUCUCAGUUCGGACUGGAGUCUGCAACCCGACUCCACGAAGCUGGAUUCGCUAGUAAUCGCGCAUCAGCCACGGCGCGGUGAAUACGUUCCCGGGCCUUGUACACACCGCCCGUCAAGCCAUGGGAGCCGGGGGUACCUGAAGUGCGUAACCGCGAGGAGCGCCCUAGGGUAAAACUGGUGACUGGGGCUAAGUAG